GUUGUCCAUUUUCUAUUCAAAUUAUUCCCUACAACUCCCCAUAUUUAUUUGAAAUAUUAUUUAUUUAUUUGACAUCAAUGAAUAGUUAAAGAGAAAUAUCCAAACCCAUGUCUUAUUAUUUUCAAUAAUCCAUAAUUGUAGCAAUGAAAUACUAUUCUUCCUCCCCCAAGUGAUAAAUGAUAGAUCACAAAUCUUUAUAAGAUUUUCUCUACAAAGGCCCAGAAAUACUUUGUUUAUGUAUCAUUGGAAAGUGCAUUAA